AUCCGUCGGGUAUAUCAAGUAGUCCCCCGGACCUCUACAUUGGUAUACCACUCCAAGAUGUUGCGUUGCUUCCACGGACGCCUCCAUAAUCAGUGUGACUGCAUCAUCAUCGGAGCUAAGUUUAUCGUCCAAUGUUAAUUCAGAUGCUGGCAAUUCAGACUCCCCGUGAUAGCAUACUAGGAACAUUUGUAAUACUAUUUUGUCGUCACCCUUGUCAAUUGUCAAAGUACCUCGAUCCUAAUUGUUCUUAGCCUUUGCCUUAUAAAGCCAGGGUCGUUUCAAUAAAAUUAGAUAUAAUAAAGUCGAAUGUUGUAGCCGAAAGAUGAUAUAGUCAAUUACAUAUAUAAUACCAGUAAUUUUACUUUGAAUACUCCGUAAAAUAUCCAUUGGCU
rnacentral:lncRNA from 1 species